rnacentral:rRNA from 1 species
CAGUAGCCGCGGUAAUACGUAGGUGGCAAGCGUUGUCCGGAAUUAUUGGGCGUAAAGGGCUCGCAGGCGGUUUCUUAAGUCUGAUGUGAAAGCCCCCGGCUCAACCGGGGAGGGUCAUUGGAAACUGGGAAACUUGAGUGCAGAAGAGGAGAGUGGAAUUCCACGUGUAGCGGUGAAAUGCGUAGAGAUGUGGAGGAACACCAGUGGCGAAGGCGACUCUCAGGUCUGUAACUGACGCUGAGGAGCGAAAGCGUGGGGAGCGAACAGGAUUAGAUACCCCCGUAGUCCCUGUCUCUUAUAC